GACAGAGGUCCCGAGCGUUAGGCGGAAUCACUGGGCUUAAAGCGUGUGUAGGCGGCGGCCUAAGUCCCUUGUGAAAUCCCACGGCUCACCCGUGGAACUGCUCGGUAUACUGGGUCGCUUGAGCCACUUAGGGGCUACCGGAACAAAUGGUGGAGCGGUGAAAUGCGUAGAUAUCAUUUGGAACGCCAAUGGUGAAAACAGGUAGCUGGGAGUGUGCUGACGCUGAGACACGAAAGCCAGGGGAGCAAACGGG
rnacentral:rRNA from 1 species